UCCGUAGGUGAACCUGCNGGAAGGAUCAUUAACACGUAUCCAACUCAAAACCUGAACUUACUGUGGAUCCUCUGAGUUUCGGCUCGGAGUGUAUCCGGGGAUGUCUGCUGGCGUAUGCUCGAGAGAGGUGCGUCGGUAGGCAUCAGUGUUAACCUUCUAACUUCGUCCGUUGGAUUGCAAAAAGUUGUAUCUCUUUACAACUCUUAGCGAUGGAUCCCUCGGCUCGGGUAACGAUGAAGGACGCAGCAAAAUGCGAUAGGCACUGUGAAUGGCAGAAUUCCGCGAAUCAAUAGAAUGCUGAACGCAUACUGCACUUUCCGGUUCGCCGGGAAGUAUGUCUGGUUCAGGGCUCUUAUACUAUCCUGCAAUCUGCAUUGCUUGGCUUCGGGCAGGCUUGGAGAUUGACGUUUCUGUGUGUCAGCGACGUGUAAUCCGUUGACGCAUCAAAUUCAGUAGUUGGUUCUGACUAAGUUCACUCGCUUGGUGGCGACUUCGGUCUUACUAGCGCGUUGGCUUUGUUAGGCGUGAUCGGCUACUUCAAAGCGACUUAAGGACUCGUCCUUUUUGUUCGGGCAUGAACUCAGAUAAGGCUACCCGCUGAAUUUAAGCAUAUCAAUA
rnacentral:rRNA from 1 species